rnacentral:sRNA from 1 species
AUUUUGGGGCAGAGGAUCCACCCCGCCACGUCGGCAGUGAGGGGUUUCGCAUCCGUUGGACAGCAUCUCCUCCAUUUCAACCUCUCCUUUGGAAACCCAUCGGAGAUCUCUUCAGGUUUCUUUGUCAGAAUCUCUGGAGAAAGAAAUUUGAUUUUUUUUUUUUUAAGUUCUUGGUUUGUGGGUUUUUACUUUUUGACUUUCUGUGCAGGUAAAGAGGUUUCUUCAUCAUUUCUAUGCAGCCAAAUUAUGCUUUUGUUCUGACUAUCCAUCAAUAUGCUGAUUUUAUUUUUUAAUUUUUGGUUUUUCCUUGAUUGGCUAGGGAAUUACAACCAAAUGAUGAAUCUUCAGUUUACUUGGUGGAUUCUCAAGAGGGGCUUCAAUGUACAGAAGAAUUACAAGACAUCAUUGGAAGAUGGCUAGCUAGGAUUGGAAGGGUUGCUGGAAAUAAGGAACUUUAUCUUGGGACAUCG